AUUGAACGCUGGCGGCAUGCCUUACACAUGCAAGUCGAACGGCAGCACGGGUGCUUGCACCUGGUGGCGAGUGGCGAACGGGUGAGUAAUAUAUCGGAACGUACCUUAUUGUGGGGGAUAACGCAGCGAAAGCUGUGCUAAUACCGCAUAAUCCCUAAGGGGGAAAGCGGGGGACCGUAAGGCCUCGCGCAAUUAGAGCGGCCGAUACCUGAGUAGCUAGUUGGUGAGGUAAAGGCUCACCAAGGCAACGAUCAGUAGCUGGUCUGAGAGGACGAUCAGCCACCCUGGGACUGAGACACGGCCCAGACGCCUACGUGAGGCAGCAGUGGGGAAUUUUGGACAAUGGGGCAACCCUGAGCCAGCGAUGCCGGGUGAGUGAAGAGGGCCUUCGGGUUGUAAAGCUCUUUCGGCCGGGAAGAAAUCGCACAGGCUAAUACUCUGUGUGGAUGACGGUACCGGCAUAAGAAGCACCGGCUAACUACGUGCCAGCAGCCGCCGUAA
rnacentral:rRNA from 1 species